UACGGAGGAUGCAAGCGUUAUCCGGAAUUAUUGGGCGUAAAGCGUCCGUAGGUGGCUGUUUAAGUCUGCUGUCAAAGCGCAGAGCUUAACUCUGUACAGGCGGUGGAAACUGAAGAGCUAGAGUAUGGUAGGGGUAGAGGGAAUUCCCGGUGUAGCGGUGAAAUGCGUAGAUAUCGGGAAGAACACCAGUGGCGAAAGCGCUCUACUGGGCCAUAACUGACACUGAGGGACGAAAGCUAGGGGAGCGAAAGGG
rnacentral:rRNA from 1 species